ACUUUCUGUAUCCUUUUCACACUGAGGACUGGCCGCAAUCCCUCUGCCUUCAGAUCUUCAGGGAACUCUCACUUCUUCCUGCCUUCCCUAGAACCUAUGGCGUUGCAGCUGGCGAGGACUUGGGAAAUCAAAUCCAAGCGGUCCCCUUUCAGAGGAGAGUGACUGAGGGGACCCAGCUCAGGUGACCCAGCCAGGUGCUCAGAGAAUUUAAGAAGUGCAACAUGGCCAGGGGCUGUCUCUGCUGCUUGAAGUACAUGAUGUUCCUCUUCAAUUUGAUAUUCUGGCUCUGUGGCUGUGGACUGCUUGGAGUGGGCAUCUGGCUCUCUGUGUCCCAAGGCAACUUUGCCACCUUCUCCCCCAGUUUCCCCUCGCUGUCUGCAGCCAACCUUGUCAUCGCCAUAGGCACCAUCGUCAUGGUGACGGGUUUCCUGGGCUGCCUGGGGGCCAUCAAGGAAAACAAGUGUUUGCUCCUCAGCUUCUUCAUCGUCCUGUUGAUCAUCCUGCUGGCAGAGCUAAUUCUUCUCAUCCUCUUCUUCGUCUACAUGGACAAGGUGAACGAGAAUGCCAAGCAGGACCUGAAAGAGGGGCUACUGCUGUACAACACUGAGAACAACGUGGGGCUCAAGAAUGCCUGGAAUAUCAUCCAGGCCGAGAUGCGGUGUUGUGGGGUCACUGACUAUACAGACUGGUAUCCAGUGCUCGGGGAGAACACAGUUCCUGACCGCUGC
rnacentral:lncRNA from 1 species